UGCAGGAGACCUUUGCCACCAACAGGAGGCUCGGUGAGCAUGCCCAGUAGGGGACUGAAUGGGCCUCAGAACUCAGCAUGGUGGCCCCCAAGUUUACCACAGGGAGCUCUAGGGCCUCAGCGGUGGGCGGUGACCAGCAUCCUGACACACCCUGAGGCAACAGGAAGCUCGUAUUCCUGCCACACCCUUGCUUCUGGUGAGAAACUGGCCUGCUGGGGCUGCCACAGUCUCAUAAUGGUUCCCUCUUGGGCUAGGACCCACGCCAAGCAGGUCCACAGAGGUUGGUACCAGGCAGGCCCAGGAGAGCUGCAGUCGGGUUGAUGCCAGUGCCAGCGCUCGGAAGUUCACGGCCGAGGUUAAACCGAGUCAACGCCGACAAACUGUAGCACUGUUGAGGUGGAGCAUGGCUGGUUUUCUCGGUUUGUUUCGGAGUCGCUUAUGGAAGGCCCGGUGCGGAGUCAGAUCCCUGGUGGGGACAAAUGCAGUGGCAGCUCAGCUCCCAGCCUGUCCCUCCUGCCAGCUGUACGGCUCGGGCAGCCCCCGGCUCUCCUCUCAUUCUGUGGCCUUGUGCUGGGGAGGGAGGGGCGCUUGGCUGCAAGGAGGGAGGUGGGCUCCUGCCGGGAGUUUUCUCCCAUUUCCGCUGAUCUCCAGUCACAACGGUUUCAAUCAAGGGGGCACUGAAGUCAGCUCCCCUUGUUUCAGAAGGACUGGCUGCACGUGUCCUACCUCACCUGGGGGAAGGGGAGGUCCUAUCUAGAGGCUGAAAAGCUGAGGCAAGCGCCGUCGCUCACACCAGGCAUGCCGGUGAACGCUAUGUAUCAGGAUGGAGCCGUGGUGUGGUGCAGGCCUGGGUUCAUGCUAGGCCUGGCUUCCGGAAGGGAAGCAUGGACCACCAAACUGCCUCUGCGCCCAGGAGAGAGAGGCAGGGGGACUCUGUACUGAGCACACAACUAGAUCUUUCUCUCUAACUUUGCUGGCUCGGGUCACACUCUGGGCUGUUUCCCCUGCUGGGCCAAAGGGUUCCGAACCACACAAGCCUCUUCAAGGAGUGAGGAAAGACGAGCUGGAGGAGGCAGCAGCCAAGGGUCCCAGAUGCUUGGUGGCUCUCACAUCUGCAGCUGCCCCUGACACCUCCAAGUUUCAGACUUGCCAUCUGGUAACCGACCACUUAAAGGGACAUCUCCACGUGAGUGUCACAGCCCAUGCCCCUGUAACCACCCAGUUCUAUCCCAUGUGCUAUGCAGACAUUACUUCGGCUUCUCCACGCAAGGGCCUUGUGAGGUGGAGUCCACUGUUAUCCUCAUCCCAGAGGAAAAGGAGGCUCUGGGGGUGACAGCCUAAGGCGGGUAACUCACCUCAGCCACCCUGCUCUGCAGCCAGGACUUAAGUCACCUGGCCCCAGUCCUGGCUCUGCCACUCUACUGUGUUCUGCCCCCGGGGUAGGGCGGAGGGAGGAGGAAGCUUCAUUCUCUGUCACCCUCACCCACCCCUCUUGUCGACCUACAACUCCUCAUUCAGGUCUCUGUAGUUUCCCUGCGUGAACCCUAGUCAGGACAGGUACCUCACUUCCAGGCCGCAGUGGCUCUGCCUCCCUCGCCAUCUGUGUAAGCAUCUGACUUUAAGUCUGUUCUCUCUGUAACCAUCCCUGCUAGUCUGCGACCUCUGUGCCCCUCGAAGACAGGAAGCAGUCCCCAUGCCACAUGCCCACUCUCCUAGCCCAGGGCUUGGCAUCUGGUGAAGAACAGAUGACACUGGUCGAGGGCCUGCCCCGUCCACUCUCAGGCUCCUGUGCCUUGGUGGCCCCAACCGCUACAGGCGCUCUGUGUAGGUCCCGGCAGCCCCCCCACACACACUCCCCCAGCUGUGCCUACUUCAUAGGCUCAGCACGGAUCUCCUCACCUCCACUCCCGGCCUCCUUCCUGCUUUACUCUUUUAUUAAGAUUCUAAUUAAAUAAUUCUAAUUAAGUGUAAUGAGCUGAAUCGACAAACUUAUAGCGAUAAAGCAGCACUCGGGAUGUGCGACCUCCUGAUCUCAGGCAAUGGCAGUAGGGUUUGGGGGCUCUGCUGCUGGGGGCUCAGAGCCUGGGUCUGACCACCACCCUCAUAAGGACAUGGCCAGACACUGUGGCUCUGCUGAGGCCUCCUCUGGUCCAGCCUUCUCUCCUCUCUCUCUCUCUCUCUCUCUCUCUCUCUCUCUCUCUCUCUCUCUCUCUGUUAUAGGCAGAUGUCUCUCAGCUCCUGGUCCCCACUUGGGCCCCUGACACCCAUCUGAAGGUACACUGCCAUCUCCUCUAUACCACACCAGGUACCCCUGGCCCAGAAACGGAUUCUGCUAAUGACGCAAGCACCUGAAGA